rnacentral:rRNA from 1 species
UACGUAGGGUGCAAGCGUUGUCCGGAAUUACUGGGCGUAAAGCGUGCGCAGGCGGUGAUGUAAGACCGAUGUGAAAUCCCCGGGCUUAACCUGGGAACUGCAUUGGUGACUGCAUCGCUCGAGUAUGGCAGAGGGGGGUAGAAUUCCACGUGUAGCAGUGAAAUGCGUAGAGAUGUGGAGGAAUACCGAUGGCGAAGGCAGCCCCCUGGGUCAAUACUGACGCUCAUGCACGAAAGCGUGGGGAGCAAACAGG